GAUGAACGCUGGCGGCGUGCCUAAUACAUGCAAGUCGAGCGAACAGACGAGGAGCUUACUCCUCUGACGUUAGCGGCGGACGGGUGAGUAACACGUGGAUAACCUACCUAUAAGACUGGGAUAACUUCGGGAAACCGGAGCUAAUACCGGAUAACAUGUUGAACCGCAUGGUUCAACAGUGAAAUACGGUCUUGCUGUCACUUAUAGAUGGAUCCGCGUCGCAUUAGCUAGUUGGUAAGGUAACGGCUUACCAAGGCAACGAUGGGUAGCCGACCCGAGAGGGUGGUCGGCCACACGGGAGGUGAGACACGGCACAGACUCCUGCGGGAGGCAGCAGUCGGGACUCUUACGCAAUGGGGGAGAGCCUGACGGAGCACCGCCGCGUGAGUGAUGAAGGUCUUCGGCUCGUAAAACUCUGUUAUUAGGGAAGAACAAAUGUGUAAGUAACUAUGCACGUCUUGACGGUACCUGGUCAGAAAGCCACGGCUAACUACGUG
rnacentral:rRNA from 1 species